UACGAAGGGGGCUAGCGUUGUUCGGAAUUACUGGGCGUAAAGCGUGCGCAGGCGGUUUUGUAAGCCAGGUGUGAAAUCCCCGGGCUCAACCUGGGAAUGGCAUUUGGGACUGCAAGGCUGGAGUGCGGCAGAGGAGACUGGAAUUCCUGGUGUAGCAGUGAAAUGCGUAGAUAUCAGGAGGAACACCGAUGGCGAAGGCAGGUCUCUGGGCUGACACUGACGCUCAUGCACGAAAGCGUGGGGAGCAAACAGG
rnacentral:rRNA from 1 species